UGAACAGGAUAUUGAAGAAAAAAUGUUUUAGGAACUAAAAUAAAUGUCUUAAUUUCCUCCCUCCCUUCUUCUUCCUGGGAUGUAAUGGAUAGAGUUAAAAAGAGGCACUGAUACUGGCUGCAGCUUCAUUUCUUGACAUGAUUUAUGUAACUGUAUGUCGAAACUGAAAAGAUCUGGAUGAAAGAGCUCUGCUUUUACAGAGACCCACUCCUCCGAGGUUUAAAUCUUAGAGACAAUUUUAUGUUGUGAAGCGUCUAGAAGUCUCUUUGGACCUUUUCCAGUGCAGUGUCCCGUGGAACAUCUUCCUUCGAAGGCACCCCAUGCGUGCCCUCUGACUUCAUGCCUAUAGGACAAAAAAAAAGCAUCUCGGGUUCAAAUGUCCGGGGCUCCUGCUCCUGUAAUCCCUGCCUAAGUGUUAUUUGGACAGGGGAAGAGGAUAGAUGAGUAACAGCAGUGGCAUUUCAAUUGCAGAGGAGACAGCCUAGUCUAAUAAACAGUACCUCUGUUACGAUUGCGUUGUGUGUUAAUGCCACCAUCCCUUCCAGUACCAGACUUGUAAUGUCCCUGAGAUAAUCGUGGUGACUUCUGUAAGCAAAGUGCAGACGGAACAGAAGAUAGUAAAGAAAAACAGACUUGCUUAAUUCUUUGUCUGUCAGCUCUUCCCUUUACUCAAUUACUUUUGGAUCUGACUUUUUUCAUUCACAAGUGAUCUCUCUGAUCUGCUGCCUCAAGUACACCCUAAGCCACUUCUCUCUUCCUUCUCCAGUUUCUUAGGCUUGUAUUACUGCUCCCUGAUGGCUCUGAUCUCACAUUUUGAGCUGCCCCAGCCCUUUCUGAUACUCCCAAUGAAACCACAACUAUCCUCUCUCUUCAAUCAUUCUUGGGUGUAAAUUUGAUCACUACAUUAGUCUGCCAGCUAACUUCUCUGGAGGCUUCAAUACCCCACAGCUUGUCAUGUAUGCUCAGGCUGAACAUGGAGACAGUAUAAAAAUGGGAGAACACAAGGCACUUGUAGCUGAAGGAAAGAUUGCUUUCAAACAUGGAGCUAUCAAGUGUUGCAUAGGACGAACACACACUACAGGCUGUUUCCCAGGCCACAUGUUACUUCCCAGGCCACCUGAUUUCCCUGGUAAGGAGACAGGAUAGCAGGACUGGGACCCUUGACUUUUUGGCAACUAAUAGCUGUAAGAAGCUUCUCUGAUGAGCAGGAGAUGAGAAGACAUUGACAUCAUGGCAAAGCAAAGCCUACGGAAACUUCCUCUAUGCUUUCUGCACUUAUCAGCCACUGGCUGUUUCAUGGAGGGACUGGCCAGAUCUCUUCUGAUGAGACUUGUUACUGACAAGUGCCUGUCAUUAGAACUUGGACCAAGACUGAAGCACCAGAGUCUCAGGAGUCCUGCAGGCCCAUUGCUGAGCCACAAGGAGCUGCUCUAAUUAAAAGAAGCAAGAGAAGAAAUAAUGAAUUUGAGAGCACAUGGCAAGGGACUGCAUCUGAACACCAAGUGACUGCUGACGGAGACGAGAGGAACACUGGGUAUUAGUGAAGUUCCCAUGGCUUGAAAGAAGGCAAAUUUGGCUCCAGCAUGCUGGUUCCAGGGCAGCAGCUGAAGCUCAGGAGAUGCCGUGAGCCAUGCACCCAUCGUGGGCUCCAUCCCCUGGGGGUGAGGGUGCCUGACCCUUCCUGGCCAGGCCCUGCCUAGAGCAUACUCACAAGUGAAAAGUAACAAAGACUGCUAAUACGGUAAUCCCAUCGGGCAAAACGCUAAGACCGGCUGCCUGCCAUGGUGACCAGAACCAGGAGUGGAAUGGAACAGAAUGGAACGGAACAGAACGGAAUGGAAUGGAACAGUUCAUUGGGAGGGGACCUUCAGAGAUCACCAUGUCCAACUGCCUGACCCCUUCAGGGAUAACCACAAGUUACAGCAUGUGUCUGAGGGCAUUAUCCAGAUGCCUCUGAGCACUGACAGGCACAGGACAUCAGCCACCUCUCUGUGAAGUCUCUCUCAGUGUUUGACUACCCCCACAGUAAAGGAACUUUUCCUCGUGUCCAUUCUGAACUUCCCCAGCACAGCUUUGUGCUGUCCCCUUGUGUCCUGUCAUCAGUGGCCAGGAGAAGAGCCCAGCACCCCCCUCUGCACGUCCCCUCCUCAGGAAGCUGCAGAGAGCAGUGAGGCUGCCUCUCGGCCUCCUCAGCUCCAGACAGGACAGCACAAGUGUCCUCAGCCUCUCCUCACAGGACAGGCCUUCCAAGCCUUUUAGAACAUUUGUUGCUCUCCUCUGGAUGCUUUCAAGUAAUUUAACACCUUUUUUUUUUUUAUUUUGUGAAGCCCAGAACUGCACACAGUGCUCAAGGUGAGGCUGCACCAACACUAAACAUAGCAGGAGAAUCACCGUGUCUGACCGGCUGGCUGUGCUGUGCUCAAUGCACCCCAAAAUGUGGUUUGCCCUUUUGGCAGCCAGGGCACACCCCCAGCCACUCAUCUCCAAAUCUGUGCCAUUGCUCCAUCACAGAAUACAAGGGUGAAGAGCAAGUGAUGUGUGGGGGAUCUAGGGAAUGUGGCAGACCAGGAAAUUAAGUCUUUGAAAUCCCAGCUGAGCAUCAGAGCCACGGGACAGGCUGACUUCCCUGCACCCAGCGGGGAGUGCAGGAGCAGGCAGAAGUGCCAUUUGACCAAACUGUUUUGUUGAUGAAAGACCCAGGGUAAUGGUGGGAAGCAGGAGGAGCAGGGUGUCUGACAGGCUAGUGGGUGCUCUUGUCCUCAUCUAAGCAUGUCAGCCCUUAAGAGCAGGGGAGUCUUAAUGUUUAUUUAGGAGAUGAGCAAGACUAGGUGCCUUGAGAGGACGUGGUUCUCCUUCAGCUGUCAGAAAGGAGAUGUGUGGAAAUGACUAACCUGUUAGUGCCUGACAGCAGGGACUUAGGGAGACAUUAGUUAUUGCUCAGACUUGCUGUUUCUCCACAGGUACCCGUCAGACCCAGCUGACACUUCAAGCACAAAAGAAGUAUUUGGCACUGGUCACUCCUUGUGAAAAUGUUUUAUAUAUUCCCUUUUCACACUCUGGCUUUGUUCUCAUGAGGUUUUGUGUUAGCAAAGGUUUUCAUCUUUGUUCUCUGCAACAGCCAGCAGAUGUGCCUGAACCCAGGCACUACGUGCAGGCUUUGCUGCCUUGACUCUGUUUUCCACGCUCCCCCUGGCUGAGGAUUAUGGCUAUUAAUGAGGUAUCUACAUUUAAAUAUUGCAGAAAACUGUUCCAGUUCCUGCCUGCAACUGGGUGGGUAGCUCAGUCAUGUUGUGUUCCUGUGCCUGUGUUCCUAUGGCCAGUGCAAAGGAGUGGUGUGAGCUUUUUUAUUGCCCACCUUGUCCUGUUUGAUGAGGCCAUCUCCAAGAGGAAAGAAGGCUGGUCUGGGACAUGGACUUAUGCACCUGCUGCACUGCAAGGUUGGCUUCUCCUGUGUUGCUGAUGGGACUCUGACUGACUUUACCUCUGUUUGACAGAAUUUUUAACAGCCUCUUCACACUUCUUUUCCUUUGCAGGCAGCUUAAAGUAUUUCUGGUCUUCUUUUGGAUUGCUGUUUUGUUGCUGCAGCUUUUAGAUUUACCAGUCCUUUAAAGACCUCAUUUAUUCUCCAGAACACUGAAGGAAGAAACAAAAUGCAGCUCUGCCUUACAGAUAGAAAGUUAAGUAGUGGCAAAAGCUACUGGGGAGUAGAGGAGAGGUUCAAACUCAUAUAUCUUCAAAAAUCACUAUCCUAGAAAAAAAUGCUAGCUAAUACUGAGAGCCCUUUCUCUCCUUUUAGCUUCCCAGUAGAAGCUGGGAGAACUGCAGUUCUGUGCUCUCUUUAUCAGGAGGCCUCCAUGAGCUCUGGCUAUGGAGGCCUCCUGAUAAAUUCUGGUCUAUGUCUGCCUGGGAUGAUGCAGGUUUCUUUUUUAAAUCCAAUAAAAAUGCUACUCCUGGACAUUGCUCCUCUGCCUGUUCUCACCAGAAAAACAAUUAAACUUUCCUUAAAUUCUAUCUGCUUUGCAGAUUGGUUGUUUGAAGUUGCAGAUAGGACCUGCGGUGUUCUGUGGGGAAGGAAGAUAUUUGUGAGGUCCUUUUUGGAAAAUGCAACCAGUGGUUUCAGAUCAGUUUUAGUUAGUAAAGACUUUCCCUGAAAAAGGCGUAAGCGAUUGCACACUAAAGCCUUUUUUUGUUUUAACCACCUUAGUGGUGGCUGUACUUCCCCAGUGAUUCCCUGAAAAAUAGACUACAUCAGUUUCUCUAUUACCUUCUGUCGCUUGCUUUUUUUCUCCAAUACCAUCAGCCCCGUUAAAAUGAGGAUAUUAACUGGAAGAGUGUUAGUCCAGUCACUUUUGUGCUGGGCUGUUGCAUGUUGCUCUUAAGAGAAAGCCUUAGGAGAGGCUGUUCUCCUCUUCAUCCAUGUUUUGUACCUCCUGCUAGCACUACUCAGCUUUGCAAAUUCAACUGUGACUUUGCAUUGCCUGGACUUCUUUGCUCCCAGGGUGGCAGGCUCAUACAUGGCGGUCUCUCCGGCCUUUUGGGUUCUACGUAUUGGAUAUGUUAGGUCACUGUCAUGAUGAAGAGGAACUUCAUUGAUCCAAAACCUGGGAAUGUAUCACUUUUUGGACUACUGAAAUUUGUAGAUUAUGUAAUGGCAGUGUGAGGGUUACAUGCACAAUUACGGUUUCUUAAUAUGCACAAAUACGGUUUCUUAAUUCUUUAGCAAACAAUAAUAAAAAAAAUCACAUUGGCAGUAGGAAAAGCAAUCACUUCAGAAUGAAUGCAUUAAACAUAAAAAGUCACCACAGGUUUUCUGUGUCAGAAAAUAAACUACAAAAUUUACAUGGAUUGUGUAAAUAUACAAAACAAGAACACUGCAGGCAAAUGUUUUCAAGACACAGGUUUAGCCAAUAUCAUUGUGUUCCAGAAGAAAUCAGAAAUGCCAAAUGAGAAGUCCUGGGUGGUUAUUUAUUUUGUCAGAUGCUGUGUGUUUGUGGAACAACAUUAUGUGAACAGUGUUUGUACUGGGCUGCCAUUAAAGACAGGCAACACCCAUCAGAUACUGCAAUAGCAGCUUUAUGCAUUAUUUGUUAGCUAAAGUGAUAUUGUUAUUGUUGCCUGAGAUUUCAAUAUCCACACAGUUAUCCUGUGUGCUCAGGUCAACUAUUUCACCAUCUAUUACUUCAGGUAGAGCAGCCUUGUUGUAUCAAUACCAUAACCAUUGCCAUCGUUACUUAGCAGUGAAAUGUCAGCUCCACUUGCCAUGGCUUCACCAGAUUGUUGUCUCCACUCCUUAUCAACAUUCAUUAUAUCAGGAUAGGUGUUGGGAUGGGGACUUAUUCCAGUAACACAGAAAUAUUUAGGAUAGAUAUUACUCCAUAUUUUUCCUGCCAUUCAGAUUCAGUCUUCCAUGGUUGCAGGCUGACAAGAUUUUACAACGUUUCUUUUUCUACUGAAGAUGUGCCUGUAGUUCUGGAGAUUUUUGAACAACAUUGUGUGUUCCUUAGGGUCAUCUGACCUUGAUGGCAGCUGAACAGUGCUUUCCACCAGGGUGUCCUCCAGAAACGUGCAUGUUCAUUUGGGUGAUACCAUGGGCUUACACGGAGCAUCCUCCAGAAAAUGAAGGGAUAUUAUCAGUGAACUUUUGUCUGCCAGUGAGCUGUAGCUCUAGGAACAGAAGAGCUGAAGAGUCUGGAUGUGAAGUCUGGCCUUGCUUAGGCACUGGGCAGUCCCAUCAGUCUGUCCAGGAACACAAAGACUUGGGGUAAAAGCUAUCAGGAGCUAAGGCAAGUGGAAAAUGUGUGAUGCAGUCUUGCCUGAAAGAAGAAUGAUGCUUUUGGCACUUCAAUUUUUCAUGCAUUCUUCUUAAAGCUAUCUCCAAGAAGGAACACAUUGCAGACUUAGAGUGUUUUAUGACAGCUGAUAUUCAAUUUUGACUUAUUGAUAAGUACCUAAUGAUAUGAGUUUGCCUGGAAAGAUUAGAGGUCUCCAAGAUUGGGAGGCUUUGUCUGAGAACUGCAAUUUGUAUUCAUUUACUUUGCCUCUUCCUGAAUCUCUCAAAACAGUCAUGUCUGUUCUUGAGCUCAAUCCCAUUAACAUCUUGGUGCAACAGUUCUCCCUGAGCAGGAGGCAACCUGGGAGAAGCUGGACAGCCAUCUGAGAAGAUGUCCCUGCUUACAGCUUACCACAGGAAAAUCACUGUCUUUGUCUCUGUGGAUGCUUCAGGGUUCUACAGCUGUCCGAGGGAAUAAGGCUCAUGUGGUGGGUCUGACCAUCUGCCAUUCCCUCUGCAAAAGCUUCUCCCCCAUUUAAAAUGACAAGCAAAUGCAGUUGCUGAACAGAAGCCUUCUACAGCUUUGUCUCUGCAGUGGAUGGAGGUGUUUUCCCAGGCUCCUCCUUGAACUGAACAAGGGGUCAGCUCAGCUGGGCUGCAGUAACUACUGCAAGUCCUUAUUUCUCUCUAUAUCAUUUUGGUGGUGGGGGUCAAGGGUGGAGGACAGGGCAGGGAACAAAUUAUGAGUGAAAUAAACUUGAACUUUGGCUACUAGAGUAGUGAGCUCAAACCCUCCAGACCACUGGAGAAGUGGACAUCAGAUGGGAUGUAACGAAAGUGUGUCCCUCCUCUUAUGGGCAGGUGUCUUGCUGGCAAUUGGGUUUGCACCUGGGAACAUGCCGUAGAGGGACUCUGAGCAUGGGUACCAGAGUGGGUCCCUCUGGGCAUCAGUGUCUCAGACCUGAGACAGGUGCUGGGCUGUCUUUGCUGGAUAUGACGGAGUUGUAAGAUGUGAAAGCUUAAAACCAGAGGAACAUUACUGGUAAACAAAACAAAACAAAACAACCAACCAAACAAACAGAAACAAAAACAAAACCAAACACAAACAAACAAAAAAGCAGGCACUCAUUGAGUUAGGCAAAGAUUUGAGGGCUGCAUUCUGAACUCAGUUCUGCCUCAUUUCCACUCUGGGUACUUAUGUCCUUAUGUGGACUUUCCUCUGAGUGCUUGUUUUUCAGGGGUGACUAUAUAAAAAAAGGAAAUAAUGUGUCAAAGACAACCAGCGAAGCUGACUCUUCCAACUGGGUAGCAUUGCACUGUCCUAUGUGACUUCUCUCCCCUCCUUUCCCUUGCUUCUGACAUUUCUUAUAUCACCUUUUUCCUUCCUGCAGCUAUAAAUGACAGAGAUGGGUACUGAGGAAGAAAUACCUUUUUUUUUUUUUUCCAGAGCCAUAAAAAUAGUUUCCUUGGUUUUAUUAGCAGUGCAUGGAUAUGAGUUCAGCCUCCUCUCCAAAAUAGACAAUAAGCAGGAAGUACUCAAUUUGGCAAUGCAUUUGGGGUUAGAAACAUUGUUGCUUUCAAAACAUUUCACCAGAGUCAUUAAUUAAGUGCGAGAACAGAGAACUUUGACCAAACAAAACUAGGGGAAAUUACAUUUCUCUUUCCUGACCUAUAUAAAAAGCAUUUGUGCUUAAAUCAUAUUGAAAGCUUUAAAGGGACCUCUUUCCCAGAGGAGCAUGCAGAAAACAUAAAUGUCCUGCAAUAGGAUUGUUAGUAGGAUUUGGCUGUGUUUCCUCUUCUUUGCAAAUGUUUAGUGAGAGUGUUUAUGGGAAGGGAGUAUAAGCAAGGAUAGUGCAGCUAUGGAGUUUAGUUUUUCAAAUGAAAGAGCAUGAACCAGGAAAUUUUCUCCUAAUGACGAGGCUUGUCCUGCCCAAGAACAAAGACAAAUCCAUCCCAUUUCUGUUCAGUCCCAGUGACUAUCAUGGUGAUUAACUCCAACAUCUUGCACAGAAUAGCUGAGGAAUAACUUUAGUUUCAGCGGAGCCUGAGAGACUUGGGUAAAUAUUGUCAGAGGACUGCAGACUGUCAGGUAUUCCCUGUCUCCAGAGUUGACCAUGAUUUGAUAACCACAGUCUGAGAGAGCAGGUCUGGCUUUCCUUUGAUUUGUUAAUAGACCUUACCCGUCCAAAGAAGGGAGAAGUCUCAGCACAUCUCAUCUCACACCUGAGCACAGCGGUGCUGCAUUCCUGGAUCCAUGUGUACAUGCUAGCCUGCCACGGGGUCAGCACAUGCCUGCUUCACCAGGGAUGGGGAACAAGCCCCAUUCAUGAGUCUGAGCUCUGCUGCUCCUUGCAGCAACAGGUGACUACAGGUGUGUGAAUGAUCUAAAGCCCAAAUGCCAUGAAAUGCUCUGCCCUAAAAUACUGCCUGUUUCCUUUCACUUCCACAUCUGUGCUGAUUGGUGUUAUCCUUGGGCCUGCAACAGAUUCACCCCCAGCUACCAUCUGCAAUAGGCUGUGGAUGUGCAAAAUUGGUCAAAGUAUGUCACUUGAGGAGCUGAAUGCCUCCUUCUCUGCCCAUGGCCCAGAACCGCUGCUGCUGCUGUGAGCAAUGUUGCCUUUUGGGACUUGCUGUCCUACUGCUUUCUUCCAUUAACCUUCUUUACUCUAGUCCAGAGAGUUUUUCAUUCUUUUUUUUUUUUUUUUUUUUUUUUUAAAUAUAUAUAUUUUUUUUGGUCAAAGAGGGAUGAUCUCCAGCUGCAGCUGCCUUUUCCACAUGAGACAAUUUGUUCUUUCACUGUGUUUUCAUUGAUUACUCAUCCCUUUAUACAGCCUACCUCAUGAGUCACUUUGCCUACCUACCUGCACCCAGCGUGGUGUGCUCUCCACCAGUUCCUUGUUCUGCAGCAAUUACCAGCAUUUUAUUGCUGGAUUUUUCUCUCGAGGACUCUUUCUGUGCCAACAUACUUCAUUAAUUUCUAAUUUUGCAAACCACAAAUUGUGACAUAGCUGCAGGAGCUGGAAAUAGGAAUGACUACAUACCCUCUCCUAGAAGUACGCAUAGGGAGUUGGGAGGAAACUUGCCAACAAGUCCCUUAUAAUUGCUUUCUGUGAACGUUUACCCAGCCAAAUUCUGCUCUCACAUACAUUUGUUCAUUGUAAAAUUGUUUAAGUGGACUCAGUGGCUGGCAUUUUGUUGUAUGGAUGGAGAAGAACACUUUCCAAGAUGAGAACAAAUUAAAUUAUUCAAAUCUUUUCACUACAGCCCUAGCAUGGUGGCAUGAGGUUCUGCAAACAAACUCUAUAAGGCUUUUAUGGAUUUCUGCACAUUUUUGUUUGUUGUUUUUUGUUUGUUUGUUUGUUUGUUUAAGAGAAUAACCUAAUUUUAGGUUAUUUUCUCACAUGAAAAUCUCUUAGUGCUACUAUGAGCCCUGAAAGUAAAAAAGUUUAAAUCUAUUGCUAGUGUGUUAUGAACAAUUUUAUAAAUAUUUGUAUAAAAGAUUAGUUUUUGUAUUAACUCUGGGACAAUGUUAACUUGACAUGAAAUACCUAAUAGUUACAAUAUGUAUAUGUCUUGGACUUAAGAUACCUAAAAUUAUUGUUAUUCUUUGCAAGUGGAAUGCAUACCAAGCAGGUCUGGGGCACAGGAACAACAAUGCAGGAUUAAUGAUAAGAACAGCCCUGAAAUGAAGCUCAAUAUAAUCUCAAUUGACCUUUCUGUCUCCUCAUCUGAAGCAGACCAAGGAGGAUUGGUUGCUUCUGUUCUUUCCCUGGAGGUACUUUGACAAUAUUAGAAGAAAAAGUGCAAACUUCCUUCUGUUUUCUUGUCACUGUGAUCCCAGCAGGGAAGGGUACUCUUUGUGAAAAUGAUGAUAAGCCAAUCUUCGACGAUUCAGCUAAUCUCUCCGGUAUACCUUCCAACAAAAAUGGAAGCAAGUUUUGCCACUCAGACAGCACAACUCCAUUCACAAGUGAGUUCAGACCAUUAAAGUCAUUGGAUGUAGGACAUGACCACUGCCAGUUGGAGCUGAGUGCAAGCCAACCACCUCAGGUAGAGAGCCUGGUACCUCACACCCAGGGUCCAGAGUGACCUUGUCUCUCUGAGCAUUGGCGUGGGUGGUCAGGGGCCUGUGAUGGGGUCCAGAGAGUCUGCCUCAUUUCCCCAGCCACUGGGCUUUGUCGGUAAGCUAUCGAUCUGAGCAUUUGGGACUUGUAAAGUCAUAGCACCCACAGCACUUCAGGCUUUGCACUUUCCCUGGUGUGUUCUGUUGUAUUAAAAAUGCUGUUUUGUUGUUGUUGUUGUUUGUUUGUAUUUAAAUGGGGAGAAAUAGGUGUUUACUUUAUGUGCAUGUGAAAAUAAAAGCUGAGAUCCUUUUCUGAACCUCUGCCACUCACAUUGCAUGCAGCUUUUUGUUCUCAUCUAUUACUAUUACAAUAACUAUUGCUAUCAUUUCAUUACAAUUCACUGUUUUUCUUGGUUCUAAUAGUUCUCAAGGAUUCCAGUCUUGUGAAAUGUUGUAUAAAAAAAAGUGAAGAAUGGUCUUCCAAAAUAUCCCUUACAUUCAAUUAAAUGUUGAUAUGCUUUUUCUAUUAAUAUGUACUUUCCAUCCUGAAACACCAUCAUAUAAAUCAGUGCGUCAGCCAGCUGAACUAAGCUUGUGCCUUGGGAUGCGAUUUCCAAGUAGUCCUUCCCUGUACAUUCCAAUCUUGAUUUAAUCCAGGUUUAUCUCAGUUUUGCAUUAGCUGAUUGGGAACAGGUUUAAGCUCAAAUGGACAAAGCCACCCUUAAACUGAAGUGAGAGUGUUCAUACACAGUAUCACAUAAAUUAGCCAGAAAGGGUGCAAAUUCUGUCUGUAGAAAUCUUCAUUGGUGUUCACCUUCACCACCCUUUCUCCUUUUUACUGAACCUAUCCCUGCUCCUGGGUUUGUUUCCUUUCUGUUCUCCCAAGACUGUAGCAGAAUUGAAGUGAUUGGGGUCUAAAAAUUCAGAGAAAUCUAUGUGCAUUCAACAUUUUUGUUCUUUUAACAUCUGAUGAAGGCUCAUCAGAGGGCAGUGCACUUAAUUUGUUGCGAGACUCUGCAGCUCCCUACUGUUUCUGGUACAGCAAUGAAUUCUUGUUUUCUUCUUCAUGGGUAAUCCAAUGGUUGUAAGAAGUAUGAAAAAAAAAAAAAAAAAAAAAA